rnacentral:rRNA from 1 species
ACGGAGGAUGCGAGCGUUAUCCGGAUUUAUUGGGUUUAAAGGGUGCGUAGGUGGUUUUUUAAGUCAGUGGUGAAAGUUUGUGGCUCAACCAUAAAAUUGCCAUUGAAACUGGAGAACUUGAGUGUGUUUGAGGUAGGCGGAAUGCGUAGUGUAGCGGUGAAAUGCAUAGAUAUUACGCAGAACUCCGAUUGCGAAGGCAGCUUACUAAACCAUAACUGACACUGAAGCACGAAAGCGUGGGUAUCGAACAGG